rnacentral:rRNA from 2 species
AUGCCUGUCCGAGCGUCAUUUCAACCCUCGAACCCCUCCGGGGGGUCGGCGUUGGGGAUCGGCCCUGCCUUGGCGGUGGCCGUCUCCGAAAUACAGUGGCGGUCUCGCCGCAGCCUCUCCUGCGCAGUAGUUUGCACACUCGCAUCGGGAGCGCGGCGCGUCCACAGCCGUUAA